rnacentral:tRNA from 1 species
GCGGGUAUAGUAUAAUGGCUAUUAUGACUCUCUUCCAAGGAGUAGAUACGGGUUCGAUUCCCGUUACCCGCUCCA